AGCGAACGCUGGCGGCAGGCUUAACACAUGCAAGUCGAACGGGCGUAGCAAUACGUCAGUGGCAGACGGGUGAGUAACGCGUGGGAACGUACCUUUUGGUUCGGAACAACCCAGGGAAACUUGGGCUAAUACCGGAUAAGCCCUUACGGGGAAGAUUUAUCGCCGAAAGAUCGGCCCGCGUCUGAUUAGCUAGUUGGUGAGGUAACGGCUCACCAAGGCGACGAUCAGUAGCUGGUCUGAGAGGAUGAUCAGCCACAUUGGGACUGAGACACGGCCCAAACUCCUACGGGAGGCAGCAGUGGGGAAUAUUGGACAAUGGGCGCAAGCCUGAUCCAGCCAUGCCGCGUGAGUGAUGAAGGCCCUAGGGUUGUAAAGCUC
rnacentral:rRNA from 1 species